AUUUGUUUUCUGCUGAAGAAACAAAGUCACCUACAUCUUGGAUUCCCUGGGGAAAUCUCAAAGAGGAAAUAAGCAACAGUUAAAACAUCAUCAAAACAGUCAUGCCCGCCUCCUCCACUAUCAGUCAAAGUUUGGAUGAAUCCACAUUUAUGUGCCAACAUUGCUGCAAUUUCCUCAUUUUUAUCAGACAAAAUGCGUCACCAACCUGUUUUUAUGACAUUUGUUCACAUUACACCCAUGAUGCAACGUGUACAGUCAUACAGCAAUUAACCUACAGUCAUUUCAAAAAGCCUUUUUUCUUUCCAUUUCACUGUAAAUGAUUAUUUGUUGUUUUCAAAGUAUAUUGCAGCUGUAUUUCCAACAAUACUGCAGAAAUGGUAACACUUAUAAUGUUCACAAAUGAAACCUUAUUGUAAACUACAUUAGUUAAUGUGAAUUAAAACUAUGGGGAUUUAUUAAUCUUUGUUAAUGUUAAACUCAGCAUUUACUAAUACAUUUUAAAAUCAAAUGUUGUAUCUGUUAACAUUAGUUAAUGCUCUGGGAACUAACAUGAUCAUUUUUAUUUUUCCAUUAAGAAAGAUUAAUAAAUGCUGUAAGAAUAUAUUGCACAUUGUUAGAUAAUGCAUGUUAACAAAUCAGACCUAUUGUAAAGUGUUACUAAUAAUUUUUUCAGUACAUUUAUUGUGGAAUGAAACACAUUGGCAUGUAUUUCCCAUAUUAAACAAAUUGUUUUCCUAUA